CCAAAAGCGGCCAAGGGAGAGGAGGGGGAGCUGCCAUGCCCUGGCUCCCUGAUGAGAAGCAGGACCCAUCCCACACAACCCCAGCCCUGGGAGGGGCUGCCGCCAUGCCUGGCCCCCACAGGGCUCUGCAGCAAAUGCAGAGCAAAGACACAGCUGCCACUGGACAGGCAGCAUUACUUAGCUGGAGCACAGACUGGAGCUCUGUACAGCAGGACCUUUUUUCAAAAAGCACUACAAAGUUUUUUGGUGUUAAGGGAAGAUGGCAGCCAGUGCACCUUGAAGAGACCAGGUUUCUGCUUGCCAGGUGCAAAUUGAGGCCUGUAUGUAAGAAGUCUGCCACCCUCCUGUCAGAGAUGGUCCGAAGUUCCCCUCAUUUUUGCCUCACAAUCGUCUCAAUGGCAGAGACUAAGAUCCUGAAGACCUCGAUUGGAGUUCUGGCCUGGCUGAGGUGGAUGCUCACCAGGGGAUUGUUUGCAGGUGUGUUUGGUGUGUCACCACGUUGCCCUGCUUUGACCAGGGCCUGGCAAGGAGCCGCUUGCUCUAUAUGCUUACACCUGCUUCACAAUACCUGCUCAUCACAACAGCCCAUGAAUUUGCCCACCUCUUGGCCAAAUGAACUUUCUGGGGUAACUUCGGUGAUCUCCCACGGAAGAUCCCUCAUCUGCCUCGCAACCACCGUGAUGGAUGGAGAUUGAAGAUCCCUCCCAAGGACUGAGACCCCUAUAAUCCUAACACAGGGGCGCUGGCCUGACUAAAGCAGGAUGUCUACCAAGUGCUACCUGCAAAUGUGUUCGCUGGACCAAGACUGGUUUCCCAUGGUAACCAGUCCUGAAACAUGGGCCCUGCUCACUGCUGAAAUUGACUUGCCCUGCUAUGGCAUGGACUGCCUGUACCCAUUUUUCAAUAGACUUAUUUCUCCAUUGCCUUUUACCUGUUCCACCCACCUCGGCGGAGAACUAUAAAAGACCCCUAAAUUAGCCAAGAGUUUGAGACUCUCCCAGAUGGACAUGAUGGAUCUAUUGGCUGGACCACGAGGACUUUGUUUCUCUGCUGGUAGCUAUAUCUCCCUUCCCCUCUUUCUCCCUCUCUCUCUUUCAUUUUCUUUCUAAUCCUUCUAUCACAUUUGUUGUGGGCACUCAAUAAAAGGUGCAUUUGUUGUGAUUAAACUGAUGGUCCCCUGCUGUUUGUCUCUUGCACUUUUGGGAU
rnacentral:lncRNA from 1 species